GAAUUCCUGAGAGGCCAAGCAUUGUGUGAUAGGUGAGAGCCCCUGCAAGCAGCCCUCAAGAGAUGCUUGAAGCUGUGAGAAUAAACAGAAGCUGCAGUGGAAACCCCAGGAAGUUAAAGAUUCUGGAACAUUGAAUGCCUGCUGAGGUAAGCUGAAGGCAGCAAGCAGAGCCUGCUCAAGAGAGUAGCCAUGUGGGCUACAGCCAGCAAGGGCACAGAGGCAGGACUGCCCAAGCCCUUGGGAUCCCACAGUCUGCCACUGCAUGCCCUGGAUGCCAGACAUGGUGACUUACGGUUCAGUGUUUUCCUGCUGGGUUUUGGUACUUUGGUCUGAUCUUUCCUAUCUACGCCUCUACUCCUCACUUUGGGAACAGGGAUGUCUACCCUAUGCUGCUAUAUCUUGGAAGUGUGUAACUUUUUGAUUUAUAUAUCAAUUUUUUUUUAAGCAGGAACUCAUAGCCAACUUUGCCUUGAGUCUUGAAGGUGAGCGAUUCUGGAAUAUUUAAAUUUUGAAGACUCUUAGAGAAAGAUCUAAAUGAUUUUGCAUUACGGGAUGGACAUGAGCUUUUGGGGGCCAGAGGCAAAAAAGCUAUAGGUAGGGUAAACAUCUUCCAAAGGCCUGUAUGUUGAAGGCUUGGUUGCCAAACUGUGGCAUUAUUGGGAAGUGGUGGAAUCUUUAGGAGGUAGAGCCUAGUAGAAGGAAGUUAGGUCACUAGGGUGUAUCCUUUAAAAAAAUACUACUAGGACUCCAGCCUCACCCCUCCCCCACUUCCUGGCCACUAUGAGAUAAAUAGCUUUGCUCUACCACAUGCAUCCCACCAUGACAUACUGCCUCAUAGUAGGCCCAGAAGUAAUAUGCCAGUCAACCAGGGACUGAAACCUCUGAAACGGUGAGCCAAAAUAAGCCUUUCCUCUUUUUAGGUUGGUUGUCUCAGGUAUUUUGUCACAAUGAUGAAAGGUAAUUAAUAGUCUGGUUUGAUGUAAAUUGCUUCUUAGCUGUCUUAGCUUGUGUCAUCCCUGAUCUCUCAUAUCCCUGUCACUGUUACUUAAGAUUUUUAUAUAUCAGUAAAUUUUACAGAAAUCUUCUUUUGACUUACCAGAACAGGUCACAGUGGACUGCAAUUGUA
rnacentral:lncRNA from 1 species